CCUCGGCCUCCCAAAGUGCUGAGAUUACAGGCGUGAGCCACCGCACCUGGCCACUGAUGUGCCUUUUUAACUGUUGCAGACAUUCCAUGAUACAGACAAGUCAUACUUUAUUUAACCUGUCCCUGUUCAUCGACAUUCAUUUCCAGUUUCCAUCCUAUUUAAUUUUCUAGAGUCAGUUUUACCGAGAUAUACUUUUGUGAAAGAAAAUAAGCACCGAGGACUGCACUCACACCUGCUGAAGGUCAAACCACAGAAUGUUCCAAUAGACUUGGAUAAACAACUGCAGUCAGCAUUCGCGGCUGUCAACAACUCUCAGCUGGGAAUAGCCUAGUUAACUAACCAAUCGGAACAGGUUUGCCAUUUAGGAUUUCUGCCCAGCCCAAUGAAAUGCCUCUGAAAACAGCGUUUUGUGGAAACUCCCUAUAAAAAUCCUCUACUGAGCUUGCCUUACAGUCUACUAUUCAGGACUGCCUUGCUUCAGUGUACACAAAUUGCAAAUCUUUAUUUCCCAAAUAAAAGCUAUUUCCCUCAACCUCUUUUUUUUUUGAGAUGGAGUCUCUGUCACCCAGGCUGGAGUGCAGUGGCACCAUCUUGGCUCAAUGCAGUCUCUGCCUCCCAUGUUCAAGUGAUUCUCCUGCCUCAACCUCCCAAGUAGCCGGGAUUACAUGUGCGUGUCACCACACCUGGCUAAUUUUUGUAUUUUUAGUAGAGACAGGGUUUUGCCAUGUCGGCCAGGCUGGUCUCGAACUCCUGACCUCUGGUGAUCCUCCUGACUCGGCCUCCCAAAGUGCUGGGAUUAUAGGCCUGAGCCACCGUACCCAGACACUCUUUUAGUUAACACUUUUAUGCAGUAAAACUCACAAUGUGCAAGUUUUAACACACGCAGUGUCAUGUAGCUGCCACCACUAUCAGGAUUUCCAUUACCUGUGAAGUUCCCUUGUCUUUCUUUGUAGUCAACCUCAGGCAAAUACUGUCCUGUGUUUUUAUCCCUCUGGUUUUGCCUUUUCCAGAAUGCCACAUACACGGAAGCAUACAGUACAUACCACUAAGAGUCUGGUUUCUUUAAACCAUUCCAUUGUAUGACUAUACCACAGUUUGCUUUCUCUAGUUACAAGUUGGUGGACAUUUGGAUGGUUUUCUGUUUUUGGUGAUUAGAAUUAAAGCUGCUAUAAGCCAGGAGCAGUGGCUCACGCCUGUAAUCCCAGCACUUUGGGAGGCCGAGGCAGGUGGAUCACGAGGUCAGGAGUUCAAGACCAGCCUGGCCAACUUGAUGAAACCCCCAUCUCUACUAAAAAUACAAAAAAAUGGCCAGGCGCAGUGGCUCACACCCGUAAUCCCAGCACUUUGGGAGGCCAAAGUGGGCGGAUCACCUGAGGUUGGGAGCUUGACACCAGCCUAACACGGAGAAACCCUGUCUCUACUAAAAGUACAAAACUAGCCAGGCGUGGUGGCGCAUGCCUGUAAUCCCGGCUACUCAGGAGGCUGAGGCAGGAGAAUUGCUUGAGCCCGGGAGACAGAGGUUGUGUUGAGCCAAGAUCGCACCAUUGCACUCCAGCUUGGGCAACAAGAGCGAAACUCCGUCUCAGAAAAACAAAACAAAACAUUAGCCAGGUGUGGCGGUGGGCACCUGUAAUCCCAGCUACUCGGGAGGCUGAGGCAGAGAAUUGCUUGAACCUGGGAGGCAGAGGCUGCCGUGAGCUGAGAUUGCGCCACUGCACUCCAGCCCGAGUGGCAGAGUGAGACUCCGUCUCAAAAAAAAAAAAAAAAAAAAAAAAAAAAUUAGCUGGUUGUGGUGGCGCAUGUCUGUAAUCCCAACUACUCUGGGGGCAAAUCUGGAGAAUCACUCGAACCCGGGAGGUGGAGGUUGCAGUAAGCUGAGAUUGUGCCACUGCACUCCAGCCUGGGUGACAAGAGCGAAACUCCGUAUCAAAAAUAAAUAAAUAAAUAAAUAAAUAAAUAAAUAAAACUGCUAUAAAUCCUUCUAUACAGGCUUUUGUGUGUGCAUAUAUGUCUUCAUUUCUCCUGGGUAAGCUUCUAGGAAUGGGAUUGCUGGGUUGCGUAUGGUAGUGUGUUUAACUUUACAAUAAACUGCCAAACUGUUUUCCAAAGAACCGGUAUCCUUUGGCAUUCCAUGAACCAUGUGUGCGUUCUGGUUGCUCUGCAUGCUCGGUAGCACUUGACACUGUCAGGUUUCUAAAGUUUUAGCUAUUCUGGCCGGGGGCAGUGGCUCACGCCUAUAAUCCCAGCACUUUGGGAAGCUGAGGUGGGCGGAUCACCCGAGGCCAGGAGUUCGAGACCAGCCUGGCCAAGAUGGAAAAAAAACCCAUCUCAACUAAAAAUACAAAAGUCAGCUGGGUGUGGUGAAGAACGCCUGUGAUCCCAGCUACUUGGGAGGCUGGGGCAGGAGAAUCGCUUGAACUGGGGAGGCAGAGGUUGCAGUGAGCCGAGAUUGUGCCACUGCACUCCAGCCUGGGUGACAGAGAUAUACUCCGUCUCAAAAACAAAACAAAACACCCCCUUUCCCCACCAAAAAAAAAAAAAAAAAAAGUUUUAGCUAUUCUGAUAGGUAUGCAGCAUUCUUUUGUAAUUUGCAUUUCUCUAAUGACCAAUUAUGCUGAGCAGCUUUUCAUGUGCUUGUUCAUCUAUACCUUCUUGAUGAAAUGUAUGUUCUCACAUUUAUUAAUUUUUUUUCUUUUUUCUACCUCGCCUGGAUAUUGCCUGUUUUAAAACUGAAUUGUUUUAUUAUUUUAUUAAAGUUUUAAGAGACCUUUAUAUAGUCUGGAUACAAUCCUUUAUAUGCGUUUCACAAAUAUAUUCUCCUUUAUAUGAAGUUUCCCUUUUAGCAUCACUGGUGAGAGAACAUUAUUUCUGAAGUGCUAAUUGGCAGUUUCAUGCCAGUUGUGUCUCUUGGAGGUCAACAUCUGACAAAUGUCUGAACAUAUGGCUGAGCGAGUGCUCACAAAUGUCUCAGCUGUGUCUUUGGGAUAGGGGUGGAGGUAAUUGGUAGUCCAGAGGGGAAUCUGGGGGAGUAGGCAGGCUUGAAGGCACUUGGAUAAGAGUUCAUUUGGUAGCCUGCUACCAUUCAAUCAUUUGUGCCUUUUCAAAAGUCCAUCUUUUCUAUGUCCACUAAGUUAACAAACAUUCCUUAACAAUGUAUGAGGGAAUUUUGAUGUGGUUAGGUUCAUCCAUUUCCCAUUCUGUAUUUGCUGUGUUCUUGAACCCCUAUGUCCACUCCCACAGGGUGUGCACACUAGGCUGUGACACCUCUGGGAGACCAACUACUCCAGAUUUUUCACCUGCAAGUGGUAAGUCAGGCCAACUUCCGUUGGUGACCCGUUAUCUCUGCUUGAAAAAAGAUAAGGAGAUUCUCCACUUUGGCCUCAGCUCUUAGCUAGGUUCUUUAGUCCAGCUAGGAGUUACUGAGCCUCCACCAAGAAGGUGAAUCAUUUGACCUCAUUUAGCUCCUCCUCCUUAUUUAUCUUUAUUAGAGCUUGCAGUGAUGGAGAGUAAGUGAUUGGGACCUCAAACUUCUAACACAUAAUUCUCUCAGGCUGUUUUGGAAUGCUACUCUAAUUAGACUAUAUUAAAGAAAUGUGUUCAGGGAUGAGUCAACAGGAAAAAGCCUGCUGCAAAUAAAGGAGUCAUUGAGUUGUUGGCAUCAGUUUGCACCUGUGUGCAGAGCUGAUGGAGGUUAGCCCCGCCUAACACCUCAUCCAUUCCACUUGGGCCCAGGGUCAGAUUACCUGAUUCCAAGUUGCUCUAUUAGACUGAGAAAAUACUUAACUUGUCAAGUCACAAUCCUUUACAAUCUGCUGUAUCUGCAGGUACACUGAAAGUGUGUGCAGGUUCUCAUUCAAACCACCUGGGGAAGUAAGGCUAUUAGAAUUCUCUUGUAUUUGCUCUUUCUGUAUUUCCUGCUCUUUGACUUUUAUGAACUCCUAGACUUCUUUAAAACACAAUUCAUAUACCAACUCCUAAGAAGCUUUCCUGAUUCUCCAAAAAUUUAACUAGUUGUUUCAUUCUCUGUGCUACCCCAUAUUUUAUAUAAUAGCCAACCCUGAUAAAGUACUUUUUAUGUGCCAUGCAGUGUUCCAUAUAUGAGCAUUAAAUUGACAUUUAAUUUUCAUCACAAUUCUAUGAGAUAGAUACUCUUUAACAUUUCGGUUUCACAGACAAGUAAACAGGCACUGAUGGUAGGCAACUUGUUCAAAGUCCCAAGCUUUGAAUGUAGGUAGCUCUUAAAACAUUCUCCCAUAUAUUUCUACUGCUGCACUUAAGACACUAUGCUGCCAUUUAUUUGCUUCCCAGUCUUCUUCAAUACCACAGCUCCCUAAAUGCAAGGACCUGUCUUAUUUGUUCGUCUCUGUAUCCCCAUUACCUGGGGGUCUCAAGCUGACGGACUUCCUUUGUGCUCACUGGGCCAUGGCAAAGACCCCCAGCUGUGACCACCCAAGCCGGCAAUUUUCUCAUGAGCCUGGCAUUGGAGAGUCAUUGAGUCUUGGAUGGAAAUAAAUCAAAUACACUGGCCAUCUGUGGUCAUUAAUGGGAAGUAUCUCCUCAUCUGAAUCUACAGCAAAGACAGAACAUCAUUCCAUAAUAAGAAACUCUACAAAAGAAAUAAACACUGGAAACCCAAUCUCUACAGGCAAAGCAACUGAGGCAGAAUCCUGAAGCAAUUAUUUUUGGUUCAGGAAAGGUAACUCUUGAGACUUUGCCACCAGCAUUUAGUGAGGAGUCACUGAACCCUAGGGAGGUGAAUGAUAGCUGUGGGCACUGAGCAGUGGAGCACCCAUUAUCUAACACAUGGUGGCCAGGAGCCUAUGUUCCACAGUGCCAUUCUGGGAUUUGAUCUGCCUCCUUUCCUUGGCUAGACCUGGGGCAGGUUCUACUGUAUAUUCUACUGUAUGACCAAGGGCAGGUUCUUUAACCUUUCAGUGCCUCUGGACUCACAUUGAUAGAACACAGAUAAUAAGAGAACACAGAUUACAGGGUGGCUGGGAGGAUUAAAUGAGUUAUAUGAGUUAAAUGUUUAGCAUGGUGCUGGACACACAGUAAGGGUCCAAGAAACAUGAGCUAUUAUUCUUCCUUUUUAUUUAGUAAGACAGGCAGAGAACUGGUAGUACGUAUUAUCACAAAUACGUAUCACCUCUACCCCUGUGCCUGGCACACAGUGGGCAGCAAUGUUUUUUUGAGACGGAGUUUUGUUCUCGUUGCCCAGGCUGGAGUGCAAUGGUGCGAUCUCAGCUCACCAC
rnacentral:lncRNA from 1 species